rnacentral:rRNA from 1 species
CCUACGGGAGGCAGCAGUGGGGGAUAUUGAACAAUGGGGGAAACCCUGAUGCAGCGACGCCGCGUGGGUGAAGAAGUAUUUCGGUAUGUAAAGCCCUAUCAGCAGGGAAGAAAGAAGACGGUACCUGACUAAGAAGCCCCGGCUAACUACGUGCCAGCAGCCGCGGUAAUACGUAGGGGGCGAGCGUUAUCCGGAUUCACUGGGUGUAAAGGGAGCGUAGACGGCCGUGCAAGCCAGGAGUGAAAGCCCGGGGCCCAACCCCGGGACUGCUCUUGGAACUGUGCGGCUGGAGUGCGGGAGGGGCAGGCGGAAUUCCUGGUGUAGCGGUGAAAUGCGUAGAUAUCAGGAGGAACACCGGCGGCGAAGGCGGCCUGCUGGACCGCGACUGACGUUGAGGCUCGAAAGCGUGGGGAGCGAACAGGAUUAGAUACCCUUGUAGUC